AUGCGAUAAGUAAUGUGAAUUGCAGAAUUCAGUGAAUCAUCGAAUCUUUGAACGCACAUUGCGCCCCCUGGUAUUCCGGGGGGCAUGCCUGUUCGAGCGUCAUUUCACCACUCAAGCCUCGCUUGGUAUUGGGCAACGCGGUCCGCCGCGUGCCUCAAAUCGACCGGCUGGGUCUUCUGUCCCCUAAGCGUUGUGGAAACUAUUCGCUAAAGGGUGUUCGGGAGGCUACGCCGUAAAACAACCCCAUUUCUAAGGUUGACCUCGGAUCAGGUAGGGAUACCCGCUGAACUUAAGC
rnacentral:misc_RNA from 1 species